rnacentral:misc_RNA from 1 species
UUCCAGGCGGUUCACCCGCUGAAGCCUCCCGCAGCGACUCUAAACAAACGCGUCAGUCCGCCCUGCGGGCGACACCACGAUCCUGCUGGGACUUCUGCAUCCGUCUUCGACGGUGUUGAUACCAGUGGCCUGCGCGACAGGUUCACAGAUCAGACAGUGGUGGCCAUUGUGUGGUUAAGAUAUGACCGGUCUCCCCUGUUACCAGCCGGAGAAGCCACGUUCCGUAGGUGAACCUGCGGAAGGAUCAUUACUGAGUUAGGGUCUCUUCAGGCCCGACCUCCAACCCAAUGUGUACCUAUCUCUGUUGCUUUGGCGGGCCCGCUGGGGCGACCCACCGGCGGCCUUUGGCUUCCGAGUGCCCGUCAGAGACCCAUAAAAACCUGUUAAUUGUGCCGUCUGAGUACCAAUGCAAUAAUUAAAACUUUCAACAACGGAUCUCUUGGUUCUG